CCGCCGCCAUUGUGUGCAGCAACUAGGCUUCUUGAUCGCCCCGCAGUGCUGUAUCGCAACAAUCCGGCGAGGUUUCGGAAAGCGCCCAGUGGGAAGAACUUCUUUAACGCCGAGCUACUACUGCCAGCGCCAAGUUGUACUGUUGCGACGACUCGUGUCAGUCGUAAUGCACCGGCCUCAAUCUGAUGCCGCCGCACUGCACCAGAGUUAUAACACGACUGGCCACGGAUCUCAGCACGCAGCUCCGCAAGACGACCGGAGUGGCCGCGCUCAGAGACCAGCAACCGUGUGGGAACGAAUCUCAAAGUACUCGCGGGUGCACGAAACACGGCAGGGAUCUCGGCAUCUUUCCUUCUGGCGGCUCCCAGGGGCCGGGGUUCUUUCGGUCCAGCAACGAUUGCCCGCGCGCCUUUGUCAACGGGACAGCGGACAGCGGAGAGCUGCGCAGAAGAAGCGGCCUUUGUCAUUCUGGUCGUGGAUCCGCUGGGGCAGCCACGGCAUCGCUUCUCGCUCCAGUUGACUUCUCGAAGACGAUCGUUGACAACGGACGGAAUGAGCUCGGAGCUGCCGCCGCGUGUUGUGAACCAGGGCGACGCCUCCGCCGGCCCCGGGUUGUCGAAGCCUCCGCCCACCUCCUGACCAUCGCGGGAACACUGCGCAGCCUUAGUCACGUCUUCAGCGGUGGGGCUUGGCGCCUGGGCGACGUGUCUCGCUUUGAGUGCACCCACAGCUUUUGCCUGGCUGGUUUCGCGCACGGGGUCGACAAGCCCGCAGUCGUCACCUUCCACGAUUUGUCCCGUCCCGCGGGCAGUCCCACCGCUGCUUGCAUCCACAGGGACUGCGAAAUUCGGUGAAGCCGAUCACUCCUCCACUAUUCUGACUUUGGCUGAGUAAUUGUCACACAAAGUUUCGUACUUUUCAAGCAGUACAAGGACGUCUUGGCAGAUCUUGUGGAGAUUAUAGGCUCCCAUAAAAUCGGGUCUCCGAAGGCUGGCACGGAAGACGGGAUGCGCUUGCGAAAUUUUGCCGAUGGCGCGCCUCUCGAGGAGCCGGCGAAUUACGAAGCACGCCGGUGACCUGGACCUUUCGCCGUUGUUUUUUUCCGUACAAUCCUGUGGCAACUCGAUUGCAGCUUCAUAUUUUUUAGCGCGAGAUCUUAUUUGUUCUUACAUUUGUAAAAAUAUAUGUUCGUAUAUGCUAUA